GAAAUAGAUCCUGAAACCGUGUGCCUACAAGUAGUCAGAGUCCGUUUAUGGAUGAUGGCGUGCCUUUUGUAGAAUGAACCGGCGAGUUACGUUAACAUGCAAGGUUAAAAUGAAAAGUUGGAGCCGUAGCGAAAGCGAGUCUGAAUAGGGCGACUAAGUAUGUUGAUGUAGACCCGAAACCAAGUGACCUACCCAUGACCAGGUUGAAGAUGCGGUAAAACGCAUUGGAGGACCGAACCCGUGUAUGUUGAAAAAUGCUGGGAUGAGUUGUGGGUAGCGGUGAAAUUCCAAACGAACUUGGAGAUAGCUGGUUCUCUCCGAAAUAGCUUUAGGGUUAGCCUCGGGGAUUAGGAUCGUGGAGGUAGAGCACUGUUUGGACUAGGGGCCCGUCUUGGGUUACUGAAUUCAGAUAAACUCCGAAUACCAUUGAUCUAUACCCGGGAGUCAGACGAUGAGUGAUAAGAUCCACCGUCGAAAGGGAAACAGCCCAGAUCACCAGUUAAGGUCCCAAAAUUCAUGCUAAGUGGAAAAGGAUGUGGAAACGCAUAGACAACUAGGAUGUUGGCUUAGAAGCAGCCAUUCAUUCAAAGAGUGCGUAAUAGCUCACUAGUCGAGUGAUUCUGCGCCGAAAAUGUACCGGGGCUAAGCAUGAUACCGAAACUGUGGAUGCAUCGUAAGAUGUGUGGUAGGAGAGCGUUGUAAGAGCAUUGAAGCUGUACCGUGAGGAGCAGUGGAGUUCUUAGAAGUGAGAAUGCCGGUAUGAGUAACGAAAGACCAGUGAGAAUCUGGUCGGCCGCAAGACUAAGGUUUCCUGGGGAAGGCUCGUCCUCCCAGGGUUAGUCGGGGCCUAAGAUGAGACCGAGAGGUGUAAUCGAUGGAUAACAGGUUGAUAUUCCUGUACUAGUUUAUUUUGUUUGAACGAUGGAAGGACGCAGGAGGAUGAUGUGUGCGCGCUGAUGGAUAUGCGCGUCCAAGCAGUAAGUCUUGAUAUGAGUCAAAUGCUUAUAUCUCUAAGGACAAGCUGUGAUGGGGAGUGAAAUUUUAGUAACGAAGCACAACAACUCACACUGCCAAGAAAAGUUCCUAGUUAGAAAUAAACUACCCGUACCGCAAACCGACACAGGUAGUCGAGGAGAGUAUCCUAAGGUCAGCGAGUGAACUCUCGUUAAGGAACUCGGCAAAAUGACCCCGUAACUUCGGGAGAAGGGGUGCUGGUGUAACAGCCAGCCGCAGUGAAUAGGCCCAAACAACUGUUUAUCAAAAACACAGGUCUAUGCUAAAUCGUAAGAUGACGUAUAUGGGCUGACGCCUGCCCGGUGCUGGAAGGUUAAGAGGAUCAGUUAGCUUUUGCGAAGCUGAGAAUUGAAGCCCCAGUAAACGGCGGCCGUAACUAUAACGGUCCUAAGGUAGCGAAAUUCCUUGUCGGGUAAGUUCCGACCCGCACGAAAGGCGUAAUGAUUUGGGCACUGUCUCAACGAGAGACUCGGUGAAAUUAUAAUACCCGUGAAGAUGCGGGUUACCCGCGACAGGACGGAAAGACCCCAUGGAGCUUUACUGUAGCUUGAUAUUGAGUUUUUGUGUGACAUGUACAGGAUAGGUAGGAGCCGUUGAUUUCGGAACGCUAGUUUCGAAGGAGGCGUUGGUGGGAUACUACCCUUGUUAUAUGAAAGCUCUAACCUACAUCGCUCAGCGCGAUGAGGGACAGUGUCUGGUGGGCAGUUUGACUGGGGCGGUCGCCUCCUAAAAUGUAACGGAGGCGCUCAAAGGUUCGCUCAGAAUGGUUGGAAAUCAUUCGCAGAGUGUAAACGUAAAAGCGAGCUUGACUGCGAGACUGACAAGUCGAGCAGGGACGAAAGUCGGAGUUAGUGAUCCGGUGGUACCAUAUGGAAGGGCCAUCGCUCAACGGAUAAAAGCUACCCUGGGGAUAACAGGCUUAUCUCCCCCAAGAGUUCACAUCGACGGGGAGGUUUGGCACCUCGAUGUCGGCUCAUCGCAUCCUGGGGCUGUAGUCGGUCCCAAGGGUUGGGCUGUUCGCCCAUUAAAGCGGUACGCGAGCUGGGUUCAGAACGUCGUGAGACAGUUCGGUCCCUAUCCGUCGCGGGCGUAGGAAAUUUGAGAGGAGCUGUCCUUAGUACGAGAGGACCGGGAUGGACAUACCUCUGGUGUACCAGUUGUGCCGCCAGGCGCAUCGCUGGGUAGCUACGUAUGGAAGGGAUAAACGCUGAAAGCAUCUAAGUGUGAAGCCCCCCUCGAGAUGAGAUUUCCCAUUCCUUUAU
rnacentral:rRNA from 1 species